AUUGAACGCUGGCGGCAGGCCUAACACAUGCAAGUCGAGCGGAUGAAGGGAGCUUGCUCCUGGAUUCAGCGGCGGACGGGUGAGUAAUGCCUAGGAAUCUGCCUGGUAGUGGGGGAUAACGUCCGGAAACGGGCGCUAAUACUGCAUACGUCCUGAGGGGGAAAGUGGGGGAUCUUCGGACCUCACGCUAUCAGAUGAGCCUAGGUCGGAUUAGCUAGUUGGUGGGGUAAAGGCCUACGAAGGCGACGAUCCGUAACUGGACUGAGAGGAUGAUCAGUCACACUGGAAGUGUGACACGGCACAGAGUCAUGCGGGAAGGGCCAGUGUGGAAUAUUGGGCAAUGGGCGAAAGCCAGAUCCAACCGUGCCGCGUGUGUGAAGAAGGUCUUGGGAUUGUAAAGCACAUUAAGUUGGGAUGAAGGGCAUUAAGUUAAUACCUUGCUAAUUUGACGGUACCAACAGAAUAAGCACCGGCUAACUUCGUG
rnacentral:rRNA from 1 species